AUUAUGGUGAUGGUAAACAACAAGAGCGUGGGUCCUCUGGUAGAUGCACUAGAUGAGGUAGGGCAUCAUCUACCUCUGCUAGAGGACGUAGGUCAUCACCCGAGUUUCCUCCAUUACGUCUCUCAUUGUUACCUAUGUCCACGGACUCUGCAAGAGGUGGCAUACCUUCCACUCCACCUUUUCCACUGGAUUUUUCAUAGCAGGAUGCGUCCCCUUCAAGCCACGCCGGACAUGCUACUUCGGCUGAACCGCCACAGUGGGGUUUAGUUGAUCUGAGACAAGGAAGAUAUGGAUGCGUCCUCUGGGCACCACUAAGUUGGAGCCACGGAAGCCAACUAAGUCUUUCAUUGAGGACCUCAUGUUCUGCAAUUUCAAUCAACCAUAGGGUACUUGGAAAAAGGUUCCUAAUCACAUCAGG